UUGUUUUACUCGUGGUUUAUGACAAGGCCUUCUCUAUAGUUGUUUGAUUCAUCAAUAUCGAGUAUGGUGUUCUAUGACUCACUUGUCAAGUUGAACAUGUGAAAUAUCUUUGCUCCAACUUGAGGGAGAGUGCAGGCGAGUCCUUACUUAGUUAGAAUUUUGGUUCCUUACUAUGUUAGGAUUUUGGUUACUUACCUUUUUAUCUAG
rnacentral:lncRNA from 1 species